rnacentral:rRNA from 1 species
CGAACGAAGUAGCAAUACUUAGUGGCGAACGGGUGAGUAUAAUAUGGGUAUCUGCCUUUUGGUUUGGAAUAACACGGGGAAACUUGUGCUAAUACCGAAUAAGCCUUUACAGGGAAAGCUUUAGCGCCAAAAGAUGAGUCCAUACUUGAUUAGCUAGUUGGUAAGGUAAUGGCUUACCAAGGCUACGAUCAAUAGCUGAUCUGAGAGGAUGAUCAGCCACAUUGGGACUGAGACACGGCCCAAACUCCUACGGGGGGCAGCAGUGGGGAAUCUUGCACAAUGGGGGAAACCCUGAUGCAGCGAUGCCGCGUGAGUGAAGAAGGCCUUUGGGUUGUAAAGCUCUUUCGUCGGGGAAGAAAAUGACUGUACCCGAAUAAGAAGGUCCGGCUAACUUCGUGCCAGCAGCCGCGGUAAUACGAAGGGACCUAGCGUAGUUCGGAAUUACUGGGCUUAAAGAGCUCGUAGGUGGUUAGGAAAGUUGGUGAUGAAAUCCCAAGGCCUAACCUUGGAACUGUCACCAAAACUUUUUGACUGGAGUAUGAUAGAGGUAAGUGGAAUUUCUAGUGUAGAGGUGAAAUUCGUAGAUAUUAGAAAGAACACCAAUUGCGAAGGCAACUUUCUGGAUCAUUACUGACACUGAGGAGCGAAAGCAUGGGUAGCGAAGAGGAUUAGAUACCCUCGUAGUCCAUGCCGUAAACGAUGUGUGCUAGACGUUGGAAACUUAGUUUUCAGUGUCGCAGCGAAAGCGUUAAGCACACCGCCUGGGGGAGUACGACCGCAAGGUUAAAACUCAAAUGAA